GCAUUUUUACAGACUUAGUAUUCACUGUUCAUCAACAAAAACUGAAUUGAUUGUGAAAUAAAUAAAUGGAAAUGAAUAAUGAAAUAGUUCCCGCCAAUCUCGGCUUCCUAAACUCGGGUUAAUAGUGCUUGGUCUAUUGUUCGGUUGGCGAAAUUUCGCAAGUGGUCCACGAGAAUGGUCCACGGGAGUGGUCCGCGGUCCACGAGUGUAGUCCAUGGACCAGGUCCACGAAGGUAGUCCAUAGAUCUGGGGUCCGCGUCUUGUCAUUUCCCCCCUCAUUUUCCUUUUGCCCUUUCCUUUCUUUUCCCUUUGUUCUCUUCUUUUCCCUCUUUCUUUUCCUUUCCCUUCCUUUCUUUUUCACUCUUCUUUGAAUUUCUUCCCUGGCCCUAAGACCCUUUGAUUCCUUUCCCCCCCAGGGGGGUGGAUUAUAGAAGAAUAUACACCCAAAAUAUUUGUCUGCGUUUUUACAAGCGAUUCAUCAUCAAUCACGCCAUCCUGGCUAGUACAACCGGCCACUUUGUACCUACCAAAACCUGAUAAAAACUUCCGGUUGUAGUAACCAGGAUGGCGUGAGCGAGUUAAAAUUUUCGUGGACAUAAGAGGGUCC